UUACAGAUAGGGGCGCGUAGCGGCUGACCCCAAAAAUGCUAUAGCGGGAUAGCGCAUAGCGCUAUGUCCGCUAUUUCAUAAAAACAAAAACAACAAAAACAAGGAAACAAAGAGAGUAUAAUAGAGUUUUAUAUGAACAAAACAUAGGAUUGUUUGUACAAACUACAAACAGAAACAUAGAGAGCAGAAUGGAGUUCGGAAUCAAUAAUAACAAAGAAAACUAGAACACAAAAGUAACAGGACAACAGAGUUCUGAGAUUGUUAAACACAAAAAUAACAGGAUAAUAGCAAACACGACAAAGUAGAGGAAGAUUUACAACAGAGGUGAAAAAGUUAUACAGAACAUCAAAAAAGCAAAGGAAGAUUUACAUAAAUACCCUUUUUUUAAACCAAGGACAAUUUUGUAUUUUCUCUUAAAAUGAAAUAGCGGUUCUAAACCGCUACGAAGCGUUUAUAUCACCGCUAUCUCACACUGCAAUGCUAUGGCUUGUUGCGUAGCGCUCCGGCACCGCACUGCACCGCGCGGCAACUAUAGUGGCGCUAUUGGCCGCUAUUGACUACUAUGAUGGAGACAAAUGGAUUUAAUUCCAAUGGAUAACAACAAAUUCAUGGUUCAACUUUUCAACAAAGGUGAUCAUGAAAGAAUUCGUGAAUGCAGUCCUUGAUUACUUGACAACAACAUGAUUAUUUUGAAGGUGACAGUCGGAGAGGACCAUGUAGCUGUUCCGAUGAAUACGAUGGAAAUAUGGGUGCAAGUUCAUCAGCUCCCCUUUGGUUUUAUGGAUGCAAGCAUAAGUGAUUUGGUUGGGAGUCACAUUGACAAAAUGGUUAAAUAGAAAAUAAUUAUGGUUCUUAGAGUAAGUACAUGAGAGUUAGGGUCGAGAUUGUUUUUGAAAAACAUCUGAAACAAGACUUUAUAUCAUCAUCUGACUCACAUUCAAUCAUGAUGUAUUGCUUGAGAGGUUAUUCAAGCACAAUAUUGACCCUAACUCUCAUGUACUUCAACUAUUGUCCUCGUGGUAUUUAACCAUUCUACCUAUGUGACUCCCCAUCCAAAUCACCUAAGCUUAUAAGCUAAUUUCUUGUAAUUCUUUUGUAACACUUUCAUCAUAGUGGAUUGGAGGGCUGAUCUUUCCCCCAGAUUAUGUCAUAUUG
rnacentral:lncRNA from 1 species